rnacentral:lncRNA from 13 species
AUUUCAGCUUUGAAGAUUCUCUGUUUGACUUUGGCUGUGGUCAUCUGAUUUUGAUAAGCCUACAUUUGGAUAUUUUUCAGAUAAUUGCACUUGGGAGAUCAUUGAACUUUUUGAUUGUGUGAUUUAGUGUUUCUCUUUAAAAUGAAAUUUGAGAGCAAGAAUAUGGAGUUGGGGAUAUCCCACUCAUCUCCUUCCAAAGAAACAAGCAUUUGGCAGCCUUUCACAGAAAAAAAGCACAGUUGUGAGUGCACUGGAAUUCAGGUCAGAGGUAGCAAACCUCAGGAUAGCCCAAGAAUGAAGACGGCUGCUUUAAAUACUUAUUAUAUUGGGUAAUGACAGAAGAAAGCCACUGUACUAGAAAGGGCGUAGCCCAGACUUGCUGUAAGAGGGUGAUUUAUGCACCAGUCCAUAGGCUGACACUGAUGACCAAGGACACCUGGGGCUGAGCUGUACACCCAGGGAAGCAGGUAAGUGUCAGGGAAGGGUGUGUGUGAGAACACCAAGCUGGUUGUGCCCACAGGGAGGGGGACUUGCUAAUACAUUGUCAGGAACAUCACAAAGUGAGGUUGUACUUUUAUUUCUUUUGCAAUUACGUAUUGAGUGUGCACAGUACUGUAGGGGCUGGGAGGGGAUAAAAGAGCUGAAUGGCUUUCUCUAGAAUGGUGGCCUGUCUCCCGAGUAGUAACUUGCUGACCCUGCCCCUGAAGUGAAAAAGAGGGUGAAGGGCUACUUGCUCAAGCUUGUUCUCUUUUCUUACCUCUUCCCCCUCUGUGGUUUCCUCUGCCGCUGAACAGGGCCCAGGCAGCCUGCCAUGAGAUCGUGCUCCAAGGACCGGCCGUUCUGCUGGACCCACGGGCUCCUGGUAUUCAUCAGCCUGCUCCUCAGUGUCUGCAGCUCUGCAGCCAACACUUCCGGAGCUCAUGGCUCUGCUGUGAAGGAUUCUGGAAACCACAUUUAUCUGAAGCGCAUCCGAGGAGGUUCUGUCUUGUUUAAUGUGACCGAGAAGCCCAUGGCAGAUGCAGGAGCCGAAAUACAGGAGGUUUUAUGGCUUUUAGGCACUCCGUUAAAGCACAGGCAGCUGCUGCAAGUCCGUAGAGGAGCCGACUCCCCCACCUGGUUGAGCCUCCAGGACAAGUUCAAGCAGAGGGUCCAUGUGCCCAGCCUGUGGUCUCUGAGGAUUGAGAACCUGGCCCCUGAAGACAGUGGGCCAUACGUGGCCAUGACCCGCUUAACUGAUGGACAAAGGCUUGGUCAGGUUUUCUACCUGACUGUCUAUGGCCUGUGUAACAUCACUCUGGAGUGUAGGGUUCCAGGGGCCACCCAGGAUCUGAAUGUGACUUGGGAGAGCAAGGGCCUCUUCAGAGAGCUGGAACAGAGAGACACACCAGGAUCAACCGCCAAGCUUUGGACCCUGGCUGUGAGCCUGCCCCUGAGCCAGCGGAUCGGCGAUCUCACCUGUGUGGUCAGCAACCAGGUGGAUCAGAAAGCUGCGACCUUAGACCUUGGGAAAGUCUGUGCCCAAGGUUUACACAAACAGGAUGUGACUAGACUGCUGCCAGGCAUCCUAGGGGCUUCUGUGGCUGUGCUGUUAGUCCUGGGAAGUGGGCUGUAUGUUUUGAAGACAUGUCAGAAGAAGAAGAAGAUGGUGAUGGAAAUAAAAAGGAGUGGAGGAUUGCAGAAGAACCAUGGGGUUGAUGAUGGUGGCAUCCCCUUUGAGACGCUCAGCCAGCAAGUGCAAGAGCAUCGGUGAACAAUAUCUGGGAAAAAAGGAAUCUCUCAUUACUACCUGCAGUGAGGUCUGUUAUCCAGACCAGACGAUGGAGAUCAUUUGAUUGGAGGAAGCAGGAGGAUCUGGCACUCCCAGGACACCUGCACUCUGAGCCUAAGUCCUGCAGACCCCUGCCUUUCCCAGCUCUGAUUCAGUUCCAGCUUCCCCUUGUGUGUGUUGAAUUGUCAGAGGCUGCAGUAAAUGUACUCCCUUGGAGAGGCAUCGCUGCCAACAUUUCUGAAAGGCUAUGUCAGUACCAGUGGGGCCCCUGCAACAAUACUUGCCAUCCAGCCUGGACUUUCUUGGACCAAAUCAAUCAAUCUAUCUUUGCCAAAAUCAGAUGAAAUGUCAACUCCAACCUUGCCUUGCAUCAAAAGCCUUGGUAUCCUGCCCAAUAUGCCUGAAACGGCAUAUACUGGGAGACUACUGUGCUGGUAGCUGGUCUCCAUAUAGCUCCCCUUUGUUUGGAGACUUUAAAUGGCUACGCUAAUGCCACUCUGGGGUUUCCCCCACCAGACAAUUGUCAACACAUACUCCAAAUCAAUAACACUACCCCCAACGAAACACAGUCUCUUUCCUACUUCAAUAGCACCUUAUACACUCUAAUUAUAGUGAAACCAUUGCUAUCCCCUGGGGGCCCUCUGGCUAUGCAGAUCCUGUGGGUGGUGAUACCUGCCUCCACAUUGGACAGGGACAUGCACUGAGGGUGGCCAUUAAUUUUAUUCAUGGUCUGGGAUAAUAUUCCCCUCCCCAGUAAUCUAGAUGCUUGCAAACCUCACUGGUUAUGAAUGUGCCAGACUCUUUUUUGGUGGGACCCUAUCACAGCAUUCUUUCCCUGCCACUGGUACAAUCCUGUUUCAGCAACAAAUUAAAAUAGUAAGCUUAUAUGUAGUAAAAGCUCUUAAUGAUAGUAGCACUAAACUUGUGUUGUCGUUGGAUGAAUUUGCUCAGCUGCAUACUGUUGCAUUGCAAAAUCGAAUGGAAUUAGAUACGUUUACCGCAGUCUGAGGAGGGGUUUGCACCUUACUGUAUACUGAAUAUUGUAUGUAUAUCCCUGACAAUUCUCACAAUAUUACCCUUCUUGCCCAAGACAUGCAAAAACAAGUAAAACAGUCAGAAUCUAACCAUCAGCAUCCCAUCAUGGACUGACUGUCCAGCUGGCAUUGGCACUGGCCAUGGUAGGUGUGGAUUUUAUUAAUUAUGCUUUUAAUUUUCCUAUGCUUGUCCUGUAUGUGUAACCUAUAUCAACUAUGUAUUCCUGGUUUAUCUGUAAGGUAUUUUCCUUAUAACUGAGUACUAAAUUGAGGCCAAAUGUGGAGCAGAAGUUAAAUAUUAAAUUUAAACUCAAUUGAACAUGGACACAAACCAGAUAACUUCUAAUCUUAUGGCCUUGGGCAGUCUAGUCUACAGACAUGAAGGAAGUUUGUUUGGGAAAAAAAUAUUGAAGAAUAAUUUAUAGAAAAAAGAACUGUAUAUGGUAAAUUCUUAUCCUAAAAGUAAUUAACUGAUUUUUUUUUUUGAGACGGAGUUUUGCUCUUGUUACCCAGGCUGGAGUGCAAUGGCGCGAUCUCGGCUCACCACAACCUCCGCCUCCUGGUUUCCGGCAGUUCUCCUGCCUCAGCCUUCUGAGUAGCUGGGAUUACAGGCACGUGCCACCAUGCCCAGCUAAUUUGUUUUUUUUUUUUUUGUAUUUUCAGUAGAGAUGGGGUUUCACCAUGUUGACCAGGAUGGUCUCAAUCUCUUGACCUCAUGAUCCACCUGCCUCGGCCUCUCAAAGUGCUGGGAUGACAGGUGUGAGCCACCGCGCCCAGCCUAAUUACCUGAUUUAUUAAAAAAAAUAUACUUACAAGUCAGAAAGUUGAAGCUUGUCAAAAAUUGUCUGUAAAAGUCAUAAAAAUUUUGUAAAAAACUUUAUGCAAGAAAUGUUGUACAAUUUAAUUGUAAAAUAAAUUCUGUGUAUAAACAUAUUGGCUAAAGUUG